GAUGAACGCUGGCGGCGUGCCUAAUACAUGCAAGUCGAGCGAACGGACGAGAAGCUUGCUUUUCUGAUGUUAGCGGCGGACGGGUGAGUAACACGUGGAUAACCUACCUAUAAGACUGGGAUAACUUCGGGAAACCGGAGCUAAUACCGGAUAAUAUUUUGAGCCGCAUGGUUCAAAAGUGAAAGACGGCCUUGCUGUCACUUAUAGAUGGAUCCGCGCUGCAUUAGCUAGUUGGUAAGGUAACGGCUUACCAAGGCAACGAUGCAUAGCCGACCUGAGAGGGUGAUCGGCCACACUGGAACUGAGACACGGUCCAGACUCCUACGGGAGGCAGCAGUAGGGAAUCUUCCGCAAUGGGCGAAAGCCUGACGGAGCAACGCCGCGUGAGUGAUGAAGGUCUUCGGAUCGUAAAACUCUGUUAUUAGGGAAGAACAUAUGUGUAAGUAACUGUGCACAUCUUGACGGUACCUAAUCAGAAAGCCACGGCUAACUACGUG
rnacentral:rRNA from 1 species